rnacentral:rRNA from 1 species
GACGAACGCUGGCGGCGUGCCUAAUACAUGCAAGUCGAGCGAGUCUGCCUUGAAGAUCGGAGUGCUUGCACCCUGUGAAACAAGAUACAGGCUAGCGGCGGACGGGUGAGUAACACGUGGGUAACCUGCCCAAGAGAUCGGGAUAACACCUGGAAACAGAUGCUAAUACCGGAUAACAACAGAUGAUGCCUAUCAACUGUUUAAAAGAUGGUUCUGCUAUCACUCUUGGAUGGACCUGCGGUGCAUUAGCUAGUUGGUAGGGUAACGGCCUACCAAGGCGAUGAUGCAUAGCCGAGUUGGGAGACUGAUCGGCCACAUUGGGACUGAGACACGGCCCAAACUCCUACGGGAGGCAGCAGUAGGGAAUCUUCCACAAUGGACGCAAGUCUGAUGGAGCAACGCCGCGUGAGUGAAGAAGGGUUUCGGCUCGUAAAGCUCUGUUGUUGGUGAAGAAGGACAGGGGUAGUAACUGACCUUUGUUUGACGGUAAUCAAUUAGAAAGACACGGCUAACUACGUG